UUAUUUCAAAUCCAUCGGAUUAAAGCAUUUUUAAGCUCCUAAACCCAGCCGAGCCUCCAUGGCUGAACCUAAAAGCUUUCUUCCCCCCCUCUCUCUCUCUAUCUCGAAUUUUCUCUCUAUAGAUCACCACCACUGAGGGCGGCGAAGCUAGACGGAGGCACCACAAACGGUGGUGACCGUGUAUGUUGAUGUUGCUGUUUAUGUGUUCUCUGUACAAGAAUAUAGGGUGUAUGCAUAAUCUAAGCAUGUGGAACAUAGACAAAGCUCAAAUCUACAGAAUCUAGGCACAUACAACAGCAUCUAUCUUAUGAAAUAUGAGAAUAGAAACAGAUAAUACCCAUUUUUAGUCUCCUUCUCUGUUAUUGCUUCCUCUUCGUUGUUUUGCCUUUUCCAAGCUGCGUGUUAUUGUUGUUGGCCACCAUUGUUUGUGCAUGUCCCUGCUGUUGUUGGUUGUGAUUCUUGUGAAAAAGGUUAGAUUUUUGUGUGUAUUUUGGGGUCUGUUUUUGGAGAUUUGAGGGGGCUGGGUUAUGGUGGUUGUAGUUGUGGUUUAGGGUUUGUGAAAGAAAAAGGAGGUGCUUGGUUCUGUUUUGGUGUAGUUGCGGUUGUUGGUUUCGGAUGUAUUAAAAAGGUUGGAUUUUUGAGUGAUUUUAGGGUUGCAGUAGGAGAUGGUUGUUUUUUGGGGGAAAGGAUCACCUCUUCUUUGUUUGCACAGUAGCUUGGUAAACUCAGGUGAAAGAGACAGGGGGGAAAAGAAGAGAGAGAAAGAGAAGGAAAAAUAAGGAUCCAUAUCCCGUGCAAUUCCUCUUUUCUCAGCCGUAGAUUUAAUCUAAUGGUUCAAAUCAUUGACACCUCACCAAAUAUUAAAAGACUUCUUUACCCUUUAAAAAAUUUCACCCGCCCACUGUUUCAGUUUCAGCCCUAACUUUUCAUAAACUCAAAUUUCAUUCUUCUCUCUCUCUCUCUCUCUCGCCUGAGCAACCCAUUCUCUGCCUCUCCUUCAAUCCAUUGUCACAGCAGCCCGGUACCAGUCCACACAAGGCCAAGCUUCUCUCUUUUCCAUCACUGUCGCUUCGAUGAACCAAUUCUCUGAACCUCCAUUGCUUCGAGAACCCAGUAGAGUUACUAUUCUUCCAAAGCUCCGGCGAAGCUUCAAGCUCGUCCGAUUCCGACGCCGACGAAGAAGACCCAUCUCGCUCUUCAACAAAAAAAACUUCCUCCCUCUUUCUCGUGUGUGAAGCUGUCCCAAGUCCCAACUCUCAUGGAGUGAAGGUCUCUCUGAAGCAACGAAGCCACCGGCCGGAUCGGUGGUUCCGACGGUACUUGGCCAUUGUCUCGUCGGAAAAUCCCCUUUGUCCUCCUCUUUCUGGAAUGGAGGAUGUUCUGGCGAGCUAUGUUUUUGGGAAGAAGACAACAGAAGUUGCUCACUUGAAAAAAAUUUAGCCUUUACUGGCCAAAAGUUUAAUGUAUCUGUUGAGAAAAGCUUUUGAAACAUUCCAUGAUCAAUUGAAGCACCAUGUAUCUUGAAGUCAACCUAGGCUAAUGCAGCAAUGGAAAGCUUGAACUUUUUCCAGCUUUUUGCUGAUGGUGGAGAAACUGUCAAAAAGGGAGCUAAAACAAUGAGCUACUACGUCUAAUCUGGAAUGCAAGAAUAAAGCUUACUUUGAGAAAAUUUAGACACAACCAAAGGCCAUCUUUGGAGGGAGCUGUAGUGAUGUUGGAGACAUAGCACAAGCUAUCGGCUACUCAAGCACAUUCUUAAAUAUUGGGCUACAGUUAACGACCUGGGCUUUAUCUUCAUCAAAAGGUUUUUGUUUGGUUGAGGGAUAGCGUAGUUCUUUUCUAUUAACAUUGAAUGUAUUCUCUAAUUUUGACGCAAGAGUUUCCUUAUUUAUUUAUACAACAAUCUUACAAGAAUGUAGAGUUCAAACCAAGAGAAUGUACUAACAUGUUUUAUCCUUU